rnacentral:rRNA from 1 species
UCGGACGGAGUUAGCAGCAGCACUAAGGAUUUAGCCUUAAGCGAGAAGCGGUAAGGAUGAGGUAAGGUUUUGAUAAUGGUAAGAGCUUUUGGCUAAGGGCUUGGCGCUGUUGUUAACUUAGUGGCGGACGGGUGAGUAACACGUAGGUAACCUACCCUUAAGCCGGGGGCAACUCAGGGAAACUUGAGCUAAUACCCGAUAAGACCACGAGUUGGGAAGCUUGUGGUAAAAGGAGCGAUUCACUUAGGGAUGGGCCUGCGGCCUAUCAGGUAGUUGGUGGGGUAACGGCCUACCAAGCCGAAGACGGGUAGCCGGGCUGAGAGGUUGAACGGCCACACUGGAACUGAGAUACGGUCCAGACUCCUACGGGAGGCAGCAGUGGGGAAUAUUGCACAAUGGGGGAAACCCUGAUGCAGCGACGCCGCGUGGAGGAUGAAGGUCUUCGGGUUGUAAACUCCUUUUCUUGGGGAAGAUGAUGACGGUACCCAAGGAAUAAGCCACGGCUAACUCUGUGCCAGCAGCCGCGGUAAGACAGAGGUGGCGAGCGUUGUUCGGAAUUACUGGGCUUAAAGGGCGAGUAGGCGGUGGAGCAAGUCUGAUGUGGAAUCCUAAG